rnacentral:rRNA from 1 species
GAAGGCAUUUGCCAACAACGUUUUCAUUAAUCAAGAACGAAAGUUAGGGGAUCGAAGAUGAUCAGAUACCGUCGUAGUCUUAACCAUAAACUAUGCCGACUAGGGAUCGGGUGUUGUCCUUUUUUUGGCGCACUCGGCACCUUACGAGAAAUCAAAGUUUUUGGGUUCUGGGGGGAGUAUGGUCGCAAGGCUGAAACUUAAAGGAAUUGACGGAAGGGCACCACCAGGAGUGGAGCCUGCGGCUUAAUUUGACUCAACACGGGGAAACUCACCAGGUCCAGACACAAUAAGGAUUGACAGAUUGAGAGCUCUUUCUUGAUUUUGUGGGUGGUGGUGCAUGGCCGUUCUUAGUUGGUGGAGUGAUUUGUCUGCUUAAUUGCGAUAACGAACGAGACCUUAACCUACUAAAUAGUGCUGCUAGCUUUUGCUGGUAUAGUCACUUCUUAGAGGGACUACCGAUUUCAAGUCGGUGGAAGUUUGAGGCAAUAACAGGUCUGUGAUGCCCUUAGACGUUCUGGGCCGCACGCGCGCUACACUGACGGAGCCAGCGAGUAUUAACCUUGGCCGAGAGGUCUGGGAAAUCUUGUGAAACUCCGUCGUGCUGGGGAUAGAGCAUUGUAAUUAUUGCUCUUCAACGAGGAAUUCCUAG